rnacentral:rRNA from 1 species
AUGCAUACGUCGUCUUCUUCGUUAUGUGAAUGGCUAGAGGGGCAGCUUCAGUUUCCAUGUGUUGUACAAAAGAUCCAGGACUGCAGGAGAAGAUUUGUUGUUGAAGAAGUGAAAUUUGUUGGGUGCAUGUGCAGAAAAAUCGUCAGUUCAGUUUUCAAAAUUCUGGCCAACGACGGUUGCCGCUCCUCGACCCUAUUCCCGCUCGUCACCCAGCUCAGCAGCCCACCUCGGUGCUCCACCACUGGUCGCUCGAAGAGCUGGCUGCAGACCAUCCAUUGCUCCGCCUCUGGAUGCUGCCGUGUGGUGGCUGGCCGUCUCACUCCAAUGCACCACCCUCUCUUUGUUUACUGGUCUCUCUCAAGAGCGGAAGUUGUCCCUGAUGUACUCUCUGGAGCACAAGUUCAACAUCAUAGUCUAAAAAGGUUCACUGAUAUCAUCAUGAGGAAUUCAGAUUUUCAAAAGGAGGUUCAAAGAUUGUCGUGGAGCAAGUUCAAGAGUAAAGCCUGCGUGAGUCAUCCAUCGUCUUCCCACAUCUAG